ensembl:ncRNA lncRNA:CR46087 long non-coding RNA:CR46087
UGUUCAAAUUUUAAUCAGUUGCUCGUUCAAGUACUUCCAUCAACUCUUAAAGUUUGAUGCCACAGCCACAAGGAGAGGCGACCGGAGCACCCUUUGUCCGCCAGUUACACCCGGAUGCCCUAGAGCCACUAUCACUGGCCGUCGGAAAACCGCAAAUUGCACGUUGCCCUGGCCAAGGAUAUGCCGCAGCAAGUCCUGGCGAAUUUUGAUGUUUUUGCCAGAUUGAUGAACAUACCCAAAAACAAGGUUUCGAGUGGAAGGAGCAGGAGCAGGAGCAGGAGCAGGAGCAGGAGCAGCAGCAUGAAAAGGGAGCCGAGGGCCAGGACAAGGACAAGCCACAAGGCGUCGCUGGAGGAAAACAGGAACCCAACUCCAGCUCGUUGUUGCUUCAUUUUGUGUGCCCCCUGUUGAAAAACAAAUAACAAUAAUUAUCUUGACAACAAUUUCCGGUAUUUGUGCUCAAGUCGAGCGCAACAAAAGGCAAAAUGAAACUCAACUCAACUUCAGAGACGUGCCAAAGGAUCCAAAGGAGCCAGGACGAGCGCUGGAGGGGCACAGGUUUGAAUAUUCUGCCGCACCCCUUGAUUGCGGCGGAGUGGCAACUGGAAGUGGGAGUGGAAGUCGAAAUGGGAUUCGCAAUGUGCUUGGCCAUGUGAAUGGGCGGUCGGUCGCAUUGGUGGC